rnacentral:pre_miRNA from 1 species
AUCUCUGGGGAUCUUGUUAAAAUGCAGAUUCUGAUUCAGGAAGUCAGUGUUGAGGCCUGGGACUCUGCAUUUAUAACAAGCUUCCAGGUGAUGUUGA